GUGGUUUUGUUGCAACACUUUGCACGGUUGUUGUGUAGAAACGGACAGUGCGACGUAUGAGGUUAAAGGAAUAACCCCGCUUUGAGUUUGAAGGACACAAAAGGAGGUUUCAUGUCAGAUCAGGGUUGCUGUGUUGUUUCCAAAACCUGGAUGUAAAUGAGAAGACAAGGGAGUACCUUACAACUAAAUGACUGAUAAAGGAACCGUUAAUAUGCAUUUUCACAGACUUUUUUUCCUGGAUACAAAGUUAUAUUCAUCAGCAUGGAGGAGUCUUAAUAGCAGGCAGCAGGCCCACGCUGGGCUGGGCCACGGCAGUAAUGGGAAUCAUUGGGAAUAGGUCCAGGGCAGGAGAACGGAGGCUUAUCAUUGACCCACCAUCUCCCCUCCCGCGCCACUCCCACUUCAAAGCCACAUAAUGAGAAUCACCUGUGCCAUCUAGCCAGGGAAAUCUUUAGUAAGGAGUGCAGAUUGAGAUAAAGGAGAGGAAAUGCAGAGAACCAGGAGCUUUAAAUGAGCUCAGCAGUGAUCAAGAAGCUCGGGAGAUGCACUGUGAAAACAGGAAGACCAGGAACGUGUUGGCUCGGCAGUGGCUCAGUGGAGGUCUGGCAGAGACCUUGCACAAAGACCUUCGCUUACAUUAUAUUAGCCUGGUUCAGACCCCGAUUGGGCCCCUCUCGUAGACCCCCUGCUCAGCCCCCAGUGAGGGGUGUUUGCUAUUAGCCACUGACCUCCAUCCAUUCAGUCUUCCUGAGUCUCUGCUCCUGCCUUUAGAACUGCCACACUAAUCAAAAGCAACUCAGCUUCUCAAUCCUGACAUUUUCUUUGCUUCAGACAGGUAAUAUGAAGUA